rnacentral:rRNA from 1 species
UCAGGACGAACGCUGGCGGCGUGCUUAACACAUGCAAGUCGAACGGGAGUAUUGAAGAAGCUUGCUUUAGAGAUACUUUAGUGGCGGACGGGUGAGUAACGCGUGAGGAGCUGUCCUAUGCAGGGGGACAACAGCUGGAAACGGCUGCUAAUACCCCAUAAGCCGAGAGGUAAAAGGAUCAAUCCGGCAGAGGAGGUACUCGCGUCCUAUCAGCUAGUAGGUGAGGUAACGGCUCACCUAGGCGAAGACGGGUAGCCGGCCUGAGAGGGCGAACGGCCACACUGGAACUGAGAUACGGUCCAGACUCCUACGGGAGGCAGCAGUGGGGAAUAUUGGGCAAUGGGGGAAACCCUGAACCCCCAGCGACGCCGCGUGGGUGAAGAAAUCCUUCGGGAUGUAAAGCCCUGUUGUAUGGGAAGAGCGGAAGACGGUACCAUACGAGGAAGCCCCGGCAAACUACGUGCCAGCAGCAGC